UGGCGGACGGGUGAGUAAUGUCUGGGAAACUGCCCGAUGGAGGGGGAUAACUACUGGAAACGGUAGCUAAUACCGCAUAACGUCGCAAGACCAAAGAGGGGGACCUUCGGGCCUCGCGCCAUCAGAUGAACCCAUAUGGGAUUAGCUAGUAGGUGGGGUAACGGCUCACCUAGGCGACGAUCCCUAGCUGGUCUGAGAGGAUGACCAGCCACACUGGGACUGAGACACGGCCCAG
rnacentral:rRNA from 1 species